rnacentral:snoRNA from 1 species
UUCCUCUGAUGACUCCUGUUAGUGCCACGUGUCUGGGCCACUGAGACCCCAUGAUGGAACUGAGGAUCUGAGGAA